rnacentral:lncRNA from 1 species
GAUCCCUGACCCGCUUCACACUUAGCAAUGCUGAAGUGCUACUGCCAACAUGCUCACUCGGCUGAAUCAAAUCCGUACUCCACGAGUACCUACACUCGAGCGUCUACACACUAAUUCCAGGGUUAGGUGACUUUGCCUAAGCGCGCCAGCCACGCAAGCACGACUCAUUCACCUCAAUUAGAGGUAUUACUAAGCCAACGUGUCCGGAUUCGGCAACUAAUCGGCUACUCUCUCAACAGUGAUUCACUUUUACUGUUUGAUCUGCCGGAACUACAUCCGAAUCACUCAAUUUACUCGGGUAUCCUCACGUAUCAUGACUCAACUUUCGUAAUACACUAAUUACUACCUUGAG